rnacentral:rRNA from 1 species
AACGAACGCUGGCGGCAGGCUUAACACAUGCAAGUCGAGCGCCCCGCCAGGGGAGCGGCCGACGGGUGAGUAACGCGUGGGAACGUACCGUUUGGUUCGUAACAACUCCGGGAAACUGGAGCUAAUACCGGAUAAGCCCUAACGGGGAAAGAUUUAUCGCCGAAGGAUCGGCGCGCGUCUGAUUAGCUAGUUGGUGAGGUAACGGCUCACCAAGGCGACGAUCAGUAGCUGGUCUGAGAGGAUGCUCAGCCACACGGGGACUGAGACACGGCCCAGACUCCUACGGGAGGCAGCAGUGGGGAAUAUUGGACAAUGGGCGCAAGUCUGAUCCAGCCAUGCCGCGUGAGUGAUGAAGGCCUUAGGGUUGUAAAGCUCUUUUGUCCGGGAAGAUAAUGACUGUACCGGAAGAAUAAGCCCCGGCUAACUUCGUG